rnacentral:rRNA from 1 species
UACGGGGGGGGCAAGCGUUGUUCGGAAUUACUGGGCGUAAAGGGCUCGUAGGCGGCCAACUAAGUCAGACGUGAAAUCCCUCGGCUUAACCGGGGAACUGCGUCUGAUACUGGAUGGCUUGAAUCCGGGAGAGGGAUGCGGAGUUCCAGGUGUAGCGGUGAAAUGCGUAGAUAUCUGGAGGAACACCGGUGGCGAAGGCGGCAUCCUGGACCGGCAUUGACGCUGAGGAGCGAAAGCCAGGGGAGCAAACGGG